rnacentral:lncRNA from 1 species
AGGCAGAACGGUCGCCGCGUCGCCUCAGCACGGACCUCCAGGGAGCUCCUCAGCAAGAUCCUGCCAGGGCGCCCCUCAGCGCGAUUCUGCCGGGGUGCCUCUCAGCGUGGUCCUCCCCGGGGCUCCUCAGCACGAUUCUCCCGGUGCGCCCCUCAGCGCGGUCCUCCUCGGUGCGUCAGUCAUCGUGGUUCUCCCCGGCGCGCCCCUCGGCGCGGUUCUCCUCGGGGCUCCUCAGCGCGGCGCUCUUCUGGGGGCUCCUCGGCGCAGUUCUCCCCGGGGACUCCUCGGCGCCGUUCUCCUCGGGGCACCCGGGGCUUUUCGGCGCGGUUCUCCCCGGGGGUUCUUCGGCGCGGUUGUCCCCGGGGGUUCUUCGGCGCGGUUCUCUCCGGGGGCCUCUCGCCGCGGUUCUGUUCUCCCCGGGGGCUCCUCAGCAUGGUUCUCCUCCGCGCGGUCCUCCCUGGGCCUCCUCAGCGCGGCACUCUCCUGGGGGCUCCUCAGCGCGGCACUCUCCCCGGGGGCUCCUCAGCGCGGCACUCUCCCGGCGGCUCCUCAGUGCGGUUCUCCCAGACUCUCCUCAGCGCGGCCCUCCCCAUCUCUCUGGGAGGGUUUGAACACGGUCAGCACGGACCUGGGCGGACGGCGCGGGACGGGUGAUCACUGGCGUUGCUGAGGUGAGCUGUGUGCCCCGCGGCCGUCCCAGAUCACAGGCGUCAGCAGUGCAGCCUGGCCUGGGCAGUGCGCUCCCAUCUGCACCUUAUGGACAGCGUGGCCAGGGUCGAGGUCCGAGUUCCUGGCCGCGUCCCAAGGAUCGGAUUCCGGGUCUAUAGUUCUCAUGGUGGUUCAGAGUGGGCUGAAUUGGGAUUGGAGUCUGGAAUCCGCAUCGUGGUUCUGAGUCCGCGCUAUUGGGAUGGAAGUUGGGAAUCCAUGUUGUGGUUUUGAGUCAAAGCCCGAAUUGGGACCGGAGUCGGAAAUCCACUUAGUGGUUCUGAGUCAGGGCCCGAAUUAGGAUCGGAGGUGGGAAUCCCCGUUGUGGUUCUGAGUUAGGUAUCCUAGUUGGGAUCAGAAUUCGGGUCUAGGGUCCACAUCCUGGCUGGGAGUUUGCCUGAGUUGGGAUCUGAGUAGUUGGGGUCCCAGUCAGUCCGGGUCUGGAGUCCGCAUGGUGGUUUUAGGUAGGGCCUCAUUAGGGACAGAGGAUCGGGAGUCUGAGUUGGGGACCUGAAUCCCGGUCUGGAGUCUGCAUCAUGGCUCUGAGUUGAGAUCCAAGGGAGGUCCGAGUUGGCGACUGGAGUCAGGGUCUGGAGUCUGUCUUUGGGUAGAGGUUCUGAAUGGGGGGCUCUGAGUUAAGAGAUUGGGAUUGGGGUUAGAGGUCUCAGUGGGGUAUGGGAGUCAGGAAUUGAAGUCGAAGUUCUGCCUCUAGGUGGGGAUUCUGAGUCAGGAAUUAGGGGGCGAAGUAAAGGUUGCAGUCUGAGUUGGGGGUGGUGAUCACCUGCCAGGUGAGAGGUAGUGGUAGAAGUCUCUUGGUCAUAUUGGAGAUGAGAGUUGAUCAGAUGCAGGUCUCAGUCUGGGUAGUAGGCUUGAAGGGCCACCACUAUGUUCAGAUCCCAGUACCCCACUGUGGUCCCUGAGCAGGUCAAAUAGCCUUUUAUAUAAAAUUGAGAGUAAGAGUGCCUUCCCACAGCACUGUUCUGGUUAUGAAAGAGAAUAAUUCAUCCAGGUAGAAUAGUUCUGUCUUAGAUUAUCACAAAGUAUAAAAACUUUCCUGAUAAUAUCCACAUUUGAUGUGCAUUUACCAGUUCUUUCUUUACUGUGGUGCCCCUUUUGCUAGACCAAAAGCUCCCAACGAGGAACUCUGUUUUGUUUUCUGCUGCCUGCUCUGUACCCAGCCAAGAGCCUGAUACACAGCCUUACUCAGUCAGUACUUGAAGGAAAGCAGGCAGGCAGGAUUAACCAGAUUUCUAUGGUGUCUCAAAUGAUCCAUUUCUGCACCUGUUUUCCAGAUACUCAGUAGGAGAAAAAUUUAAGGAUUGAGUUGCUUGAUUAUGGGUGUAUUUUAAUGUGUUUCCUAACAUGCUGAGGAGAAAAGUGGGUCUGUUUCAGGAUUUAUGCUCCAGCUAGAGGGAUUUUUUAAAAUUGCGAAUCAGAGCAUGUCCAAAUUCAGAUAGAAAGCACAAGAAAACUAUAAAGAAUUUCCCUUAUGAAUGUAGAUGCAGAAGUUCCUUGUACAAUGCUAGCUAACUGAAUCCAAUAAUAUGUAUUAAACAACAAUUCUUAAACAAGUGGGAUUGCUCUUAGGAAUGCAAAGAUGAUCCAAUAUCAGAAACUUUAUCCAUGUAAUUCACAUUAAGAGGCUACAGGAGAAAAACCAUAUGGUUCCCUCAAUAGAGGCAGAAAAAAAUGAUGUGAUAAAGUUUAACGCCUAUGUGUGAUUUUGGGGUAGUGGAGUACACCACUUAGCAAGCCAGGACUAGAGAGGAACUUCUUCAACUUGAUACAAGUUAUAAACCAAAACUUAACUUUUCAGUAAACUUGAUAGAGAAAUUAAAAGUGUAUCAUUCUCUUUAAGAUAAGGAGUAGGCCAAGGAUGUCAUCCUGGCCAUACCCUAAUACAAGAAAAAGAAAUGGGGAUGUGAGGAUCAGGUAGGAAGUGAUAAAACUUAGUGUAGCUCAUAGGGUUGAUGGUCUCCAUAAAGAUUCUCAAACAUUUUGGUGUUACGACUUGUUGUAUUCUUAAAAGUUAUUGAAACCCCCAAAGGGCUUUUCUUGAUAGAGAUUCUAUCUGUUGAUAGUUACCAUCUUAGAAGUUAAAACUAAGAAAUGUUUAAAGCAGAACUAUACAAGCACAUAUUCCACUGGGGUCAUGGUGUGCUGCCUCUGGAAAACUCUUUAUCUUUGUGAGAAUGAAAGAAAAGGCAAAUAAUGUCGAGUAUUAUUAUGAAAAUGUUUUUGACCUUUCCUGAAAGGGUCUGGGGGGCUCUCUGGAAUCCCCAGACUACACUUUGAAAAUUACUGGGCUACAUGGAAAAAAAAAAUUAAGGAACUUAACAACUAAAGAGAGAUUUCAGAUUUCAGAGAGGUUUUGGAUAUAAGAUCAGUGUACUCAAAACAAAAAACAAAAACAAACCACAUUUCUUUAUGCCAAUAGCAACUGACUAAAAAAAAGCAUAAUAGAGAUUAGGACAGCAAUCAGAAUAGCAGCAAAAUUUAUACCAGUCUAGGAAUUAACAAAGACGACGACUUUUAUGGAAAAAAUUUUAAAACUCUAUUGGAGGAUAUAGAGGGAGAUCUUUCCAUAUGCAGAGACAUUUUAUUUUCUUGAACAGGGCAACUUGGCAUUAGAAUGACGUCAGGAUUUUCCAAAUCUGUUAAGUUCAACAGGACUCCACUCAAACUUCCAGUUGGAGGGCUUGAGUAAUUUAACAAACAUAUUCUAAAAUGUAUGUGGAAGAAAAAUAUUUGUAAAUGCCAACUGAACUUUUGAAAAGGAGAGCAGAGGACUUCUGCUGGCAGAUACCAGGGCACACGCCAACUUCAGCAAUCAGAGCGGUGUGGUGACAGAGGCCCAGAAGAGAGCUCAGAGGUAACUCCAAGUCUAGAGGAAGGGGACAUGUGAUAAAGGUGGCACCACAUAUCAGUGGGGACUGUUCAGAAGAUGAUGUUGGAAAGCCAGCCCUAAAAUGGAGGAAUAGGAAUAUGGAUUCCUAACUGAGCCCCUAGGAAAAGUAGACUCCAAAUGGACUAAAUAUUUGAAAGCAAAAGGUAGUUGCCAUUUGUUUAAUAGGAGAAAAAAUGAAUAAUCUCCAGGGCCAGGGUGGCCGUGGGGUUCUUAAACAGGAUCCAGAAAGCACAAACCUCAAGACUAAAAUGUAUGAACUUGAAUGCAUUAAUGAUUAUGGAUUAAGGAUUUCUGUUAAAUAAAUCCAUCAUGGCAAGGGUCAAGACUGUUUUCAUAAUAAUACUAAGGAAACAAUUUGCGUUUUUCACUUUUACACUCAUGAAUGUAACUUUGCCAUGACUCAUUACAAGAUAUUUGAAACAAUUAAAGCUGAGGAGGGAACAACAGCUAAAAUAUACCAGAAAGCACCACAAAUCAUUAAGAAAAAGGUAGGAAGAUUGCCAGUUUGCAGGAGGGUUAACAAACAGAUGAAAAUUUGCCCAAGCUAAUCAGUUAUCAGAGAAAUGUAAAUGAAAGCAACAGCUAUUCUUCAUAGGAGAAGCAUUAGAAAGUAGGAUAAGGCCAAGUGUUGGCAGAAGGCAAGGAACAAGCCUCCCUGUGUGCUGCAGGUGGGGACGGAGACAGGCACAGACGUUCUGAAGAGCUGGCCAACACUUCUUCCUCAAAUAAAAUAUUUUAUACCUGUGGCCCAGCAGUUUCCCUCCUAAGUAAACAUGCUGGAGCAGUUCUCACCCAGAACAACGAGAGGCUGUGUGUGUGCAUGCUCAGGGCAGCAUGGCCCAUAGGGGUGGGCAGUUGGAGCUGGUCACUGUGGUUAGGAGCAGGGGACUAGAUGUACACUUCACAAGAUAGAGACGCGUGGAAACACAGUGCUGAGUGACACAAAUGCCAAACAGAAAGAGGGCCUCAGUACAUGACUGUGUAUUUAAAUUAAAAUUACACACCACCCAGACACGCAGUACUAGGGAGUGCUCGUGAGUGCACACACACACACACAAUGAUAUAAAUAAAUUACCCUGGAGAAGCUGUUUGUGUAGGGAGGAGAGCAAGGAUAGAGGCUAGAGAUGAAGUGGAAAAGCAUGGAGAGGAAGAGAGCGGUGACUUUAUGCAGACCCUUACAGGGUGACAGUGUUUCAUAGGCUGAGGGCUGUGAUCAACUCUGUGCAGAGUCCCAAAAGCCAAGAACCAACGAAUGAAUGUGCCUCCAUGACUCUCCUGCCAGAUACCCUCUAGUGGCUUCUAUUUCUAGGAAAUAAAAUUCAAAUUCCAUCAGGUUUUUACAAGAUCUGCCCUGCUUACCUCUCUGACCACUGUCCUCCCUCACUGAGCUUUGGCUCUGCCAGCCUUCUUCUUCUUUGUUAAAUCUGCCAAGUAUCCCUCCUGCCCCAAGGCCUUCACCACCUCUGCCUGGCUUGUCUUUUCUGGUGAUCUUCCCUUGACAAUUCCUUCUUCUUAUUUAAAUCUCACAGGAAAUUUUGCUCUGACCUGCCAUAUCUGUCAUCCCCUUCAGUCACUCACUAGCUGACGACUACCUUUCGAGUCUCUGCAAAGCACAGGCUACGCUUUUCUAGUUCCUUAGACAUCUACUUAUUUGUUGGCUGCCUAUCUCUUCCACCGGAAGAGAGGCCCCAAGAGAGCAUAUCUGUCUUCCGUAUAGGGUCCGCACAUGGUGGGUGUGUCACAGAUUUCUGUUGAAUGGUUUCAUUCAUUUAUUGAACGAAGGAAGAGGCCAGGCCAGGAAAGUGUGCCUCCAUUUUCACAACUCAGUGAGAAAGCAAAUAGCAUGUCAAAAUCUGACCCCUUGCAACCAGGGUUUCUUAGCCAGCCACACUGGUAAUGCUUGGGACAGGAUGUAUCUUUGUUGUGAGGGGCUGUCAUUUAUAUUGUAAGAUGUUUAGCACCCUGCCUGGUCUCUACCUAGUUGAUAUUAGUAAUUCUCCCAUAGUCAUGAUAGCCAAAAAUAUCUCCAGACAUUGCCAUAUGUCCCCUGGGGGGCACCGCAGAUGACAACCACUUCCUUAGAACAGCUCUUGGGACUGGGAUGGUGUCUCUGCUGUGGCUCUUUAAAGGCAGCAGGCCCUGGCUUGCAUCCUGCCACAUCUAACACCUAUAGCCUCACCACCUCGGUGAGAAAGACCCUGGCCCAGGCCUGGCCAAUCAGAGUACCCUCUUCCCUGGUCAGCAGUAUAAUUUGUUUGGCAAGCACUUCCAGUCCCACAACCUAUGGGCUGCCACCCAGAGGUUUAGUUGGAACUACGUGUCAGCUGCCGUCCCUCAGCCAUCUAUGGCAUGGGCACCUGUGGCUUGACCAAGUUGGAGGUGGCCUAGAGAGGCCGGGCUGGGCCUGCUCACCUUCUCCAGUUAGUGCAGACUGAUGAAUGAGUGGUUCUCAGCGGAUACCGGAUCCAGGUUUGCAGUACACUCCAGGAGGAGGACGAGUAGGGUUUCCCUCAGAGCAGGCCUGGAUGGGAGGGCAAGGGGUGGCCUCUAAUACUGCCUUUCCUUCCGGUGCCUUUAUCAGCCUGUGCCAUGCUCCUCUGAACUGGCCGGCCCCAGCAUGUCCAGGUUACUGGCAGGAGCCUGUAUAACCCAGGGUUCCAGUCACACCAGCCAGGAAGGCCCAUGAGGCUGGAGCGCACCCAGUCUCUGGCUGCUCUGUCUGCGGAACUAAAAGCCUUUCUCCCAGAGCCUUUCCUACGGCUGGGCGAAGCUCUUGUUUGCAAUUUAAAUGUGGCCUCAUUUAUGGAAGAAUCCCUGCUCCUCCGAAAAGCCUUGGGCUCAACCUCCCUAGCAGCCCGGGCCUCAGCCAGGAGAAGAAAUGGAUCUAAAAGGCCUUUCUCCUGCUAAUUGUAGCAAUUAGCAUUAGAGAAUGGGGACUCGAUGGGGGGCCAGCGCCUGGCAAAACAAGCUUAUUCCCAGCUUAGGCCCAGGCCCAGCUCCACACACUGCUGCUUGGCCAGACUCGGCCCCCACCCAGGGUCUGGUUGGCUUCAGGGCAGGGAGAGAGGGCCCAGGCCUGUGGGUGCUAAGAGCAGUUGUGGAGGGUGUGCAUCUGAGUUGUUAAGCCUGGUAGCUGUACAGGUAGCCCUGGGCUAUGACUUGUGGUCCUCUCAGAAAAGGGUCUGACUGGAACGCAGAGCCAGACCAGAUAUUCAUGAGUGGAUCACAGAGUGUAGACUGAGGGCUAUCUGGUGAUUGACAGAAAGUAGUCUUGGGGCAAAUGACUCUUAAAGAGUAAGGAGCCAUUCCCCUCUAUGGCUAACUGGAUGCCUUUCUCUCCCCCUGCUCCAGAAAGGACUUCCUGUUCCUUCACUGAGCGUGCUUGCUUAUGAGGCUUCUGGAAACCAGGAGAGUUCAGUGGGCCUCAUUAUUGAGCGUAUGGGCAGGACAACCUGCUUGGGACAUAGGCCAUGCUACAGUUGAUUUUAGCCAGCUUGCUGCAUCUACACAGCACAGUGCCUUCCCAGGCAGUGAAUUAUGUCUAACAGGCAGGGGAAUGAUCAUUGCCUCAUGUUAGGGAUGCAGUCAUUCAAGAAAUAUUUGUCAAACACUCAGCAGGUACUAGACCCUGGCCCAGAGGGAGGGAUUUGAUAGGAGCAGGGACCUGCCUACCCUCCCAGGGUUAGUGGACAAAGGGGAGAAAGACUAACUAAUGUUGAAGGACCGUUUGCACCCUGAGGGGAGUGCUGAGGCCUGGGAGCACAGCAGGUGUAUAGCAGGAACCCACUGGAACUAGCCUGGGGUCUGAAAAACUCCCUUGGGGAAAGUGGCAGGGGCAGGCCAAGGGCCCUCUGGUGGUAGGGAGCCUGUGAGCACCUGGGAUGGAAAGAAGCCAAGCAUCUGAACUACCAGAAAGGCAGCUGCAGGAUUAAGCAAGACCCACAGGUCUCUAAACUUUGAAAGGAUGUCUGUCCACUGAGUAGAUAAUUGAUUGGAAUGGGGCAGGGGAUGUGAGAAUGCCAGUUAGGAGAUGCCUGCAGUACAGAGAAAUGGUGGCCUAUCAGGACAGUGGCAAUAGGGAUGGAGGGAAGCAGGGAACCUCUAGAACUAUGGAUGGGUGAAGUAAGCCUGGCUUGGUGAUGGGCUUGAGGUGAUGGGCAGGUGGUGAGGAAGCGGGUGUAUCGGAAAUGACCCCAGAACUUCUGACUUGUGCCACUGAAAGGAUGGGUGACACUGAAAGGACAGGGGCCUUCAGUAGAGUGGGCUAUAAAAUGAUGGAGGCUGUGGAGAGGAGGUGGGGGCAGGUGACUGGAAUGUGGGUCUGGCUGGGUUGGAGAGACAUUUGGGGGGUCAGGGCCUCACAGGUGGUCUGGAAGCCCUUGGUGCUGAGGGAACAGCUUAGGGAAAUGGUUUGCAUAGAGAAAGGCACUGGCAUUUAGUGGCCAUGCCAGAAGGGAAAACCUGCCAAGGAGACUGAGGAUAGAGCCAGAAAGAUGGCAAGAAAGCCAGGAGAACUGGAGGGAUGGAAAAGAGGACCUAGGGGUCAUGGUCCUGGCAGAGGUCACAUUGGAUCCAGUGCUUGUGAUUCUCUGAUUGCUGGCAGUGGAUGGCCACUGGCCUGCAAAUGGCCCUAGUGGAAUGUCCCCUGCCUGUGUGGCUCCCUGUGGGCUGCCUCUCCCCUGGACAGAUGGGGAGAGACCCCUUCCCCACCUGGUUCUCUGUUUCACCCUUGGAACUGUGGCGGUAAAGAGGACCUCCCCACAGUACGUGCAGGGAACAAGCUAGGUUGACUCCCUCAGGGAGGCCUCGUCCUUGCUGAGGUAUUUCAUAACCUCAGGAUAGAGAAAUCCCCCCAACUUUAAUGCAAAGCCAAGCAAGCUGAAAAAUGGCCUUGAAUAGGCUGAGAUGAAAAAACAAAGAGGCUGUCAACAUCAGAGACUCAGUGGGGGCAGGGAGCUUCAGUGGACUCCCCACAGACAGCAGUUCCUGGGCUUCUAUGCCCAGACCCAGAGGCCUGAGCCCAAGAUGUCAGGAUGGGUGGUCACUGUAAGUGCAGUGGAUUGUAGCUCAGGGGUGAGACAUCGCCUUUUUCUUGUCAGCUCUCCUUCCUGAUUAGUGGCUCAAACAGCCUUCCGAGACUCAAGGGGUUAACUGCAGAUCCUCUAACUCCUCCACUUGCUAAUUUUUAAACACAGCUGAGCUCUGAGCACCCCUCCCAAGGCUGUGAGAGGCCAGAGGCCAGCACAGACUCUGCACCAGGUCUGCACAGCCUCCACCCCUACUGUUGUCAGGAAUCUGCAGGCAUCUAGAACAAAGGUGCCUCCAUUAUUUCCCUCACCCAGCAUAUCCUGAUACCUGAGCCAAGAGUUCACCCAGAGCUUUUGCCCACUUCAUUGAUGGUCUGGUGGGCUUUUGUUGACACAUACCCGUGACUCCCAAAUGAACCUUUCAGGUUGGCUUAAAGCCGCUGGGACCUACACAUGACAAAACCCAGACGGAAACAGUGGCUUACACUCCUGUGUCCCUAAAGGUACCUGUUCCUAACAGUGGGAGUGCCAGAGCCUGGAAGCUGGAAGCCAAGGAGACAGGGACCUCCCUCCUGCUGACCCCCUGCCAGGCCACAUCCACCUAAGGGAUUUGGGAUCAUACUCCAUCUUCAACCACUGGGAUCAAAUGGAAAGCCCUCAGGAAUUCUGAGAGACAGCCCCUAUACCUAUGUGCACUGACACACAUACACUGACAAAUACGCAUUCUGACACAUAUAUGAACAUGCACAUAUGUGUGCCCCACUCCCUGCCAGGAGGUGGGUUCUGUCCCAUCUUUGACAUGUUACUUCUUGUCCUUCCCUAGGCCCAGUGGCACUUUCUUUGUGAUAGGUGCUGAGACCCCCCCGACUGGGCCCAGUGGCUGUUCCCAGGACCCAGUCUCUGCUCUUAUCUUAACCCAGCUCUAGCUCCCAGGACCCCAGCCUUUCGCAGGGAGAGAGAUAGCUCUUUUGGUCUGGCACAUGUUCCAUGCCAAGUAGUGGAAACAGCAGCUGCAGGGCAGCCUCAGACUUGACAUCAUUUAAUCCUUGUGACAAUCCUACAGGGAGGAAGACACUACACAUAUGUGCAGAUGCAGCAAGGAGCAGCUCAGCCACAUGGAAUGACUUGCUUGAGGUCACCAGGCACUUGACACAGCAGAGUUUAGCCCAGUCUCUGGAGAGACCAGCCUUCCACAUCCUGUCAUGCUGGGGAGGGCUGCCCGCUUUUUGUCCCUGCUCCCCCAGUUCUAACCCCGGAAGAGCGAUUGUCCCUGCUGUGCCUUCAGCCCAGACAGAAGCAGGCUAGGAGAGGGGAGGAGAGGCAGGGCUGGCCCUCGGAAGGCUCACCUUCCUCAACAGUUCUCUGCUUGGGCAAAGGUCUUCCAAGCAGCCAGGCUCUGAGGCUAGUCACUGUCAUCGUUGGGUGAGGCAGCCUGGGAGUACCAGAAGUUGGAGCAGGUGGGAACCUUCCCCAGGGAUGGGGCUGGAUAGGCAGGGGUGGGUGCUAAGUGGCAGGCCACAACCAGGCACCUGGGAGGGCCAAGCACCACACUGAGAACGCAGUGCUUCCCCUCCCCUCCUAGGCUGCUCAGGAACCCAUCAGUCUCCUGUAAACAAAUGAGACUAAGUCUCUGGCACUCUAGGCCCAGGUGCAAAGGACAGCUGCCCCUGCAGCUACUCACUCUGCCCUGGCCCUCUCAGGAGGCUUGUGACCUCUGCACCUGCUGGCUUGUUUUGUUCCUAAAAUACCCGGAUCCUUGAGAAUCUAGAAGACACCACUGCUAACAGAUUUCCACAUCAUUCAUUCUGUUCUUCCUGUGCAAGCUUCAUGCUGGGACAGGGACCAUAAAACAAGGUGACCCAAAACCUUCAGCAGAAUGCAGGUAGGCAGAGCAGAGGUCUCUGGGAGUGUCAUUCCAAGGCAGUGUCUUCCUCCUCCCCUAUGCUCCCCAUUUCCCAAGAGUGGGCUUCUUCCACCCCACUCAAGCACCUCUUCCCAAGGCUGACCUAAAGGCCUCAAGCUCUGCGGAUAGGGGCAGUCCUGAGGUGGCAUUGAGUCUUAGGGUUGGAGUGGGAGAUAUCUGUGCAAAGGCUGAUAGGAACGUCCUCCAAGGGCUGACUUCAAAGCUUGGCCUAAACCACUGCAUCAAAGUCAGCAAGCUGAGCUGUUUGCACAGAAAAGGAGGAGGAGCAGGCCCUUGAGCCACCUGUAGCUCUCCUUAGGGUCUCAGGCUUUCACACCAGGGCAGGCCUUGGGCCAGACUACCCAACUUCCAGGCCGGAUGUGCCACCGGGGAGGAGGAGGUAACUGCCCCUCAAAACCCUGCAGCCCAGGGCUCCAGGAUUCCAACCCAGGGACCUGCAGGCUCCCCUGCUCUCCAGAUCAGACCCCUACUCUCAGAGCCCUAGGCCCAGUGGGUGACAGCCUGUGAGACAGGCCUGUGUGGGGUGGCCCUAGCCCCACCUCAGCUUCCAACCUGACCUUGCUGCAUGACCUCUGGCCCAGCCCUCUCCACCUGGAGUGCCAUCUCUCUUUGUGGGAUGGGCCAGGUGGGCUGUGUGUGGGGGAGGGCAAGUAUAUAGGUGUGGUAUAGGUGGAAACUGCCACAGUAACCAGCAGCAGCUCAGAGCCGGGCCACCCAAUUUGUAUGCCAGCCCCAGCUGGGCCUAGGCACGUGGUGUGUGGAAAUGAACGAAGCAGGCAGCCCUAUGUUUAGGAGGCAGGUCCAGAGCUCACCCAGGCACAGCACAAGAUGAGUGCCUGGCCUCAGUGAGCGAGCACUGGCUGCUAUGAGGCUGUGGUGUGGAACCUUGACACUAGGGCCACUGGCCUGGCUGUGUGACCUCUACCUCAUCACCCAGAGCAGGGCAACCAGAGGCAGAGCCUCAGUGUGGUGUUCUCCUGUGAAAUAGUGAUGGCACAGGCAGGGGCUGGGGCCCAGUGCCUACACAGAGGAUCAGCAAAGGAUGGCAGUUAUUGAAACCUCUACGGGGAAGUUCCCCAGACACGAGAGGAAGACCCCCAUGGAAGCUGUGUGUGUGACGUGCUUAGAUUUUCCAGAGUCUUCAUUUUCCUUGUCUAAACAGAGGUCAUGGCGCCUCCCUCUCAGAUCAAACAGCCCUGUAUGAGUGGCUACAACCUUUGGUGGGCUCAGUGCAGCCCCUCCUGCCCCCUUGCUUGGGAGCUGUCUGCAGAGGCCUAGGGAGCUGCGUGGGGUCUCUCCACCUCAGCCUGUAUCCCCACCCCCACCAGGUCCCCUGCCUGACUCCAGCAUACCCAGGCCCUAGAAGCACCAACUCCAUGGCUGCAGCUGAGUGGAGUGUGUGCCUGCCCAAGCCUAGAGGGGUGCUGACCCCUCCCUCGCACGAGGAGACAUCAAAGGGAAGCAGGAAGCAGCGGCCUGGCUGACCCACAGCGGGUGGGAGAAGUGCAGCCUCACAACUGCUGGGGAUUUUCCAUCCCACCAGGAUUUCCGCGGGACACCCCAAGUCCAGCCUUUGAGGCUCCUCAGGAACCAGAGUUUGGCCUGGAGCCAGUUGGGGCAGAGGAGGGGGGCCAGGCUGGGUGGCUUAGGGGUGUGGUUAGGCCUGCUAAGGGGCUCCUCUUCUCAGUCUCCCCAUGAUUUGCUGGUUACUGGCUUGAAAUCUGGGCCCAGACCCAUUCCAACACUGAACCCUGAGCUCCCUGAGACCUGGCUGGCAAGGACAGGUCCCAAUUUUUACAGGGGCCUGAGAGGAAUGGAGAAGGGAUCUCUGCCCCUUCCUUUCUCAGUCACACCUCCUUGACAGGGGGUCAUCAGAGUGGGCUGUGGUAGGUGCACCAGGGAAGGGACCAUACAGAGGAGGCUGGUCUCAAGUCCUAGGGUGCCUGGGAUGGCCCUAUUGAAAUGCUGCAGCAGCUCUUGUGCAGGCAGGGAUCUGUAUGGACAGCUGGGUGGACACAGGUGCCUACUGACCUCCCAGAUCCUUCAGCAGAGCUCAGCCCUGAGUGACAGCCCAAGGCAGACCUGGCUACCUCAGCCUCUGGCUCACAGCCCUCAGCCAGAGCCCUGAGAGGCCUGGGAUCUCAAAGCUGCAAGGUGGGAGGCCAGAGGAGAGAAGCCCGGAGCUGGUAGUGAUGCUGGCUGAGUGAAAAUUGCACAUUUCCCAACAGUGUGAUGCUCCCUAUCCAGCCUGGGCUUUUGGCAGACUUCUGUGCUUUGUGGAGGAAGCUGGCUCAGAUUCCUCCCCUCCCUGUGCAGUUUGUGUGUCAAGGUGUACUUGUCACACCCAACUCAGGAUAUCUUGCAUCACUUUGUGGGUCCUUGUCCCCCAGAGCUGGGACUGCUGAGUUUUAGCCCUAAGCUCUUGCUCCCAUCUUAGCAAGUCAGGGCCCAGUGUUGUCCUUGCCUCUGCAUCAGGAUGGUAAGCUGGGCAUGCUCCGCAUCACGGAGACCUGCAUGGACCUGGAUUGGGUUGCCUCUAUCUUCAGGCUGGUCACUGGGCAGACACAAACCAGGGCCUCUGGCCAGAGGGGACAGUGGCUCUGAGUUACUUGUGCUGCUCUUUAGGGGUGAGCAGGGGCUGCUUGUGCAUCAUAGUGUAUCACAGGGGAUGCACAUUUACAAUUGAAAGCUACUGGUCCUGGGUAGAAGUGGGGCCGAGUAGGACUUCCCAGCCUUGAACAUGGGUUUGUCAUCCAACUGGGACCCACACUUGAUCCAGCGGCCAUGCUCUGUGCAGCCUGGGCCUGAGGGCAGCCACGCUCAUGUGAAAAGUGCUAGUAGCCAAGCUGCCAUUCUAGUCACCACAGCUGUCCUUGCAGGAGCACAUUGCCCAGGGCUGGGAGCUGUCAUUUCCGUGACGGGAGUGAGACUCAACACUGGGUGAGGGUGGGGGUAUCUGUUGGGAAUUAUUUCAAAACAAUUGUGGAAACUUGGCAGUGGAGGGGCUCUGGGCAUAGGUAUCCACAAUAUCCUAGUCAGGGGUUGGGGUACCCUGGCUCUGCUGAUAAGCCCAAGUGAGCAUACUCCUCCCCCAGCUUGGAACAGGUGGGACGGGCCAGGUGACACUAGUGUGGUCUGUGGUCUGGCCUCCCAAGCCAGUGGCAGUACUGGGGUGGCAGACAUUUGCUGUGUGCUAUCCCAAGGCCUAAAGGUCACACAGCUAGGUUGGAGCAGGGUUUUGGGCAGGAUGAGUAGGCAUUGCUGUGCUCUCAGAAAGGCGAAGCAAACCCCAGAAGCAAGGGGGCGAGACAGGGCAAAGGCCUACACUUUGCCAUCAACUCAGGCCUACUCAAUGCUGGCCCUGUCCUUCCCCUGCCCCUGCCCCAUCAGAUGGUGCGAGCUGGCGGGGCUUAGAGUGAGCCCCCCUGACUCUUCUUGGUGUGGAGUCUGAGGCCCAGAGUGUACAGGCCUCAUCCGUGUGACCCAGCAGGAGGAUGGGAGAGUGGGCCCAGAACUUGGUCAGGCUCAUCCGUGGAGAACAAGUUCUUCCCUAGUCUAGUUGUGGUCUGAGUCCUGGGUGAAGCAGGAGGCAGCCUGGGAAACAGCCUCGUUCUAGUAGGAAUCGCAUUCUCAGGAACGCUGACUGUGCAGGGCCCUUUCUCACUGCCACCUGGGAGGAUGCCUGCCUGCUGGCCAUUUCGGCGGACUGUCAGAGCACCCUCCCUGGGGUCCCAGACCGAAGGCCUGAAGUCCACAUGGGACCCCUGAACUUCUGGUACCUGUGUGGGCUUGUCCCCUCAACCCUGAGUGGAAUGGCAACAGCCAGCUGCAACCCUCCUAGCUUCCUGUCAUGUGCUGUAUGGAAGGGCCAAGAGCUGUAGUCAUCUGCAGAUCCUCCCACUGCACCUGUAGGACUAGCGUCUCCUGUCUGGAUGUGAGCAACUUGCUGGUGGCCUGUGAGAUGGGAGUUGCACUGGGCUUCUGGAUAAGGGCUUCUCGUUCAGGUGACAAUUCUAUGUGAAGGAGACCCAUGGAAACACAUCUAUCCCCUGCCCAUGUACCAGGCAGAGAUGGUACCUGCCCAUGUACCCUCCAUGACAUGGCUGGGUCCCUGAAACAUCAGACAGAUCGAUACUCUGUGUGCAUGUUUGUGGGCAAGACACAGUGGCACGUGUGCCCUGGAGUUUGGUAAUGGGAGGACUGAAGUAGUGCCUCCGUGUGUGAGCUGUGCCAGCCAUCCCCACGAAGGGGGCAUUCCAUGCAGAUGGGGAUCCUCUCCAGGCAGCUUCUUCCACACCUGAUUAGCUCUGACCAUCAGACCCCCCGUGCCAAAAGGGCCCCUUCCCUGGAAUCUGUAAUUCUCACAGGCUGUCCCAUACAUUUUAAAUCCAGGAAAUGUGCUCACCCAUGAGACAGGGAUGGCAAGAAGAUAUGAAUGAAAAGCAACCAGUCCGUAAAAUUGGAAGCCAUUUCACUCCUUACCAGGUACAAAGAUAACAUGCUGCAUGGAUCAGGGACACAAACUUACCUACCUUAUGAUGUAGUGAAAGAAUCUAAAACUUUUGUCUCAGCAGACUCCCUGGAGGAAGCCAAUAACAGGAGGCCUUGACUAGGAGACCUCAAGCCUUGGAAUGUGCCCAGACCAGUGGGGAGGGAAGGCUGGGAGGCAGUCCUCCCUUACCCCUUUUCUCCCAGGCAGACCUACCCUGGGUUCUCUCCAGGCCCCUCCGCCUGAGCAAGUGCUCAGUUGGCCACUAGCUCCCUGCACAUCCAACAAGCCUUUCUUUCCUGUUCCUUCUUCAAGGAAGGCUUAGCCUCAAAUCCAGGGCCACAGACAAAGGACAGUCACUCUCCUCUGCCAGAAAGUCAUUUAUGGGACAUGGAGAAAGCAUCAAAUAUAUUGCUUUUCCAACACCUAACAGUGGAAUAGGAGGAAUAGAAGGAGAACUCAGCCAGAAAGUUCUGGAGCAUAGUCUUUUUGCCAAAAGAACACGUUUUCAAAUGAAAGAGGUGGUGCUGGGGCACUGAGGAAUCAGGGGGAUGGACCCCACUGGAGCUUGUCUCAUGCUGGCAGCAAGUCCCAGGCCUCAAACACAUACCUGGGCCACCUCAGGAGAGAGACUGCAGGGAAGAAAUGAGUUGCAAUGCUCCAGCCUAACCAACUCCCCUUUUGUUAAUCCAAUCCCAGAAGGUACUGGGUAGGGUCAGUUAACAGACAGCUGCCUGUCUCCUGGCAGAGUCUGACCAAGCCCCAGUGGGCGCUUCUCUUCCUAAGUCCUCUGGUGUACCCCAUUCUUCAAGGGAAACGGUCCCCUUAAGAAUCUAUGUGAAAGGGUUCUGAAAUUGCUGUACCAGUUAAUGAAUUAUUUACUCUAAACAAUGUCUUGAUAAAGGGGGAGGAUGAAGUUAGCUGAUGUUGACUAAGGAGAGACGGAGUUGCCAAGGAAAUUCUUCUAAAUGAAAAAAAAAAAAAAGUAAAAGCAGUCAGCUGGUUUUGUCUGACUAUGAAACGUGUCACAGAGCAUGCACCUUUGGCCAUCUUUUGCAUUUAUGAUUUGGAAGAGAGAUGUAGCAGUGAGUGUGGGGCCAGGGAGGGGAAUCCAACAAAGCCAUUCUGCAAGCUAGUGGCUGGGAUUUUGGGGUAUAGAGUAAGAGCAGCCAGCCUUAGAGGCCCAUGUCAUCUGGGCUGCCUCAGAGCUAAAGCUAGGUAACCAGAGGGAGUAAGGAAAGGCCUGAGUCCCAGGCUAGGCUUUUCACAGUUGUAUUGAGAUGGGAAAGUAAGGGAUGUUCCUUGCAGCAGAUGCAGGGCCCAGUUGUCUAGAGCAGUAUUUGAAAUGAGUUGGCAUUUCAGGGCAGUGUUUGUGAUGCCAGUCAGUAGGUAGGGGCUUCUACCUCUUUUUUAGAAAUGUUUACUCUGAACUAAGCUCUAUGCUUUAACAAGUUAUGUUUUAAUAGGAAAACUGUCAUUGAUGGAAUCAUAUGUAAUUCCUACAUUUUUCCAGUUACCCAUUCCUGGGGAAAGCUUAGCCAUUGGACAAACCACCCAGAGCCCCAGGAACCUGCAUUUGCAGACAGCAGUGGCAGGCACAGUGGCCUAGUGUUGAGCGGGGGAAACCUGGCCUCUAUGUGUCUGGUUUUGCAAACUAAAACGCCAUUGCCCAUACUCAGGCUGACAGGUUCUGGAGGUGCCAUGGACUCCUGCUCUGUAUCUCACCUCUAGUUCCAUCACAAUGCAUGAGCUGUCAGUGGGAGCCUUUUAAUGCAGAUGCUAAUACCCAUUCCUAAUGCUAGCCCAUCCCCACACCCUCCUGAGUUGGUGCGAUAUAUCCUGGGAACAAGAAAAUCUGAAGGCUCCUGGUCCUCAGGCUAGCAAGAGCCUUGCCUGUAAGAAGUGGGAGAAGGUCACCUCUCUCAGGAGGCAGAACUAAGGCUGCACAGCACAAGGGAGAUGUCUGAAUGCACAGUCUGGGUGGCAGAAGGACUCCUGUCCUUUCUUCCACACAGACCUGAGCACCUCUCCAGGUGCCACCAUUUUCUGUCUGGGAACAUCUGCUAUCCCCAAGCCUCAGUUUCCUGGUCUACAAAACUGAGAUGGUCUCUUCUAUACAAGGCCCCAGGAGGAUCACUGCAAGUCACUGCAUUUCAUGGUGCCCAGAUUUCCCUGCAUUUCUAGAAUGUCAACAGAGAUGAGUGGGCUCAAGGGGAAGAGAUUCUUUAUGACUAGAGAUAUUCUGGUCAACUUUGGACCCCAGCUUCUAUGGACAAUAGCAUGUGGACAUGAGCCCUGGGGAAGCAGGGAUGACUGAGCCUGAAGAAGAGCUCUCAAGCCUUACACUCUCCAGACCAGCCUUGGGUUGCCUGAACCCCAGCAUAGCCUUAUGGAACCCCUGCCAGGGUCCUAGCACCUGGUUUGACCUGGGCACAAGUACUCACUCACUCACUCACUCACUCACUCACUCGUCAAACAUUCACUGAGGGUCCGUGACAGGCUCCAUAUGGAUUAAGCACUGAAGAUAAAACACUGAAUAGAAACAGCCAGCCUAUACCCUCAUGCUCCUUGAAUGUGAUAGAAGGAGCCAGCCAGUAAACCCUUUACCACAAAUAAACACACAGUUACACAUUAAGAAUGGGAGGGGAGGUAUGUGAUUUUUUACAGCCCAGUCUUAAGCUUUAGAAAUUGGCUCCUCUGAGGAAGGGACAUUUCAGCUAAGAACCACAGGAUAAGACAGUCCUGGCCUGGGGAAGGGGAGAGAAGGUCAGGAGAGAGCUUGAUAUGUUUAAUACUGAAAGAAUAUUUGAUGAGCUGGGACAUCUCCUGCAGAUCCACGGCUCCCUAGCUUUGUGACCCUGGGCCCUAGACUCAAUCCCUCAACCCUUAGGAGAUUAUCUAUAAAACAGGAGUGAUAAUAUUCUUGUGUUAAAAGCUGCUGUGAGGAUUAGUGAAAUGAUGUCUAUAUUUGCCUGGCAAACAGGAAGUGUAAGUAGUAGUAUCAUUUGAAGAUUAUUCUUCAGCCUAAACGUGUGUUCAUUAUGGCCGGUGUGUUUUCUCCCCACCUAGAUGGUAGUGCUGGGCCUCCUUUGGAGUACCUUGAUGUUUGGGGAGCAUGGAUGAUAUGACCAUAACCUGAGAAGGCAGGGACUGUACCCAUUCUGGUCCUCCCAGGUCCCAGGGCCCCCACAGUGCCCUGGUGUGUGAUCAGUGCCCACAAUACUGAAUAGAGGAACAGACACAUGGGAAGCAACGGCAGCCUGGUCUUUAAGGGUGAGGGAGCACCUUCUCCUGAGAGAGGGAGAGAUAGGUUGGGGGAGGUUGGGUGGGGGUGGGGAGAGCGAGUGAGCAAGCAAGCUAGAAACUUCCUGAAAAGGGAAGUUACUCUAGAAAAGGGUAAGUUCCUUCCAGGCAUCAUGGGCUGGCUUAACCUGGACCAGUUUGACUUUACUAAGUCCCAUUUCUCAUCUAGGGAGCCUGAGGCCAUUAAGGUUAUCUGGUCCCAAAAUCCCCUAGAGCUGUCACAGGGAUCCCCAUUCUUUGCCUUUAGUCACCCCAGCCCCAAGAGCCAUCCUCCACAUGGAGUGAGCAGGGAGCUACAAGGAAAAGACGGUCACAGUUGGAGAGAGACAGAGAACCAGGUGGGCUGGUAGGACAGGAAGGUAUAGGGAGAAAGUGAAGCUCUCUCCUGGGGAGGCAGGAAUACUCUCCUGCUUCCUUCUACCCACUCUUCAUAGAACACAAACACUGCAAAAAUGACUUUUUCCAAACCCUCUUAGCAUUCAGAAGUAGAAUUGCUAUGUAAGAAUUUUUUCAUAGGUGCUUUUUUGGGGGGCAUCUAUUUAAAAAAUAACCACAUCAUUAGUGAAAUCUUCCAAAGUCUCUUUUUGGAGCCCACAUUUCACUAAUGUCCACAUCUGAGGAGGCUUUCAUAAUAAAAGAACACAUACCUAUUUCACCUAUGAUGGUCAGUGCAAUCUUGAAAACACUAGUAAAUAGUGUCCAUCAGCUUUAAAAAUACAAACCCAAAUUGGGUCAUACCAAAAUGCAAGGAUACACACAAUAACCUGGGUGAAUCUUCAGGGAAUUGUGCUGAGUGAAAAGAGCCGAUCCCAAAAAGGUGAUUUGCUAUGUGGUUCCAUUUAUAUAAUUUUCUUGGAAUGAUAAAGAAAUGAAGAAUAGGUUAGUAGUUGUCAGGGGCUAAGGACAGGGUAGGGUGGGAGGGAAUUGGGGGUAGCUAUAAAAGGGGGACAUGAGGGAUUCUUGAAGAGUUAGAAAUGUCCUGUAGUGAGACUAUCAAUGCAAUAUCCUGGUCAGAAUAUUGUACUACAGUUUUGCAAGAUGUUACUAUCGGGGGAGACUAGGUAAAGGAGUAUGUAAGAUUUCUCUGUGUUGUUUCUUAGAACUGCAUGAGAAAUGUACAAUUAUCUCAAAAUAAAAAUUUAUUUUAAAAAAUGCCCAAAUUAAAAAAAAAUCAGUAGUCCUCCUAAAAAUACCCAGAAAUGAAUUUUAGAAUGUCCAAAAUCCAUACAAAGAUCUAAAAAAAUAUGGAAGGAUGUUGCAAUGGAUUUGAACAUGUGGGUAAACUGCUUCUAUUUGUGGCUGGAAAGACUUUUUUUUUGAGGUGGGGAAGGCAAUUCUUCAUCAGUUAAUCUAAAUUGAAUGAAGUUUCAAUAACAAAUGCCAAUGGGAUAUGAAUAUACACACAGAUAGACAACUUUUUUUUUUUUUUUUUUUUUAAUUAGGCAAGCUGAGGCCAGGUGCAUUGGCUCACGCCCGUAAUCCCAGCACUUUAGGAGGCUGAGGCGGGCAGAUCACUUGAGGUCAGGAGUUUGAGACCAGCCUGGCCAACAUGGUGAAACCCUGUCUCUAAUAAAAAAAAAAAUUAGCCAGUCAUGGUGGCAGAUGUCUGUAGUCCCAGCUACUAGGGAGGCUAAGGCAGGAGAAUUGCUUGAACCCAGGAGGUAGAGGUUGCAGUAAGCCGAGACUGUGCCACUGCAUUCCCGCCUAGGUGACAAAGUGAGACUCUGCCUCAAAAAAAAUAAAAAUAAAAAAAAAAUUAGGCGUGCUAGUUCUAAGUUUAUAUGAAAAAAAUGCAUGUCCUAUAAAAUUCAGAAGUAGCAGCAGUCUGGCCCCUUGUGCUCCUCUAGCCCUCAACUGGCCUAACAGGCCCUAGUGUGCAGCAGGGACUAUUUUCCCAUCAUCACUGUCCACAGCAUCUGGACAAGAAUACAGAGAACGGCUGAUUUAAAAAAAAUCUAAUCUGGGAUCCUAUGCAUCCUAAAUAAUCUUAUGAGGAUGCACUUGUAUUUUUUCUGAUGCUGAUACUAUUCAUUCCAACUCGCCUCCCCAUCAGCUUUGUCAGGCACUGUGAAUUGCAUGGUACACAUGAUUACAAUGGAUGGAAUGGCCAUCAUGAGGUAUAGCAAUACAUUUAAGUAACACUGUGUCACUACUAUAGGACAGGCACUUUUCUGCAUACUUUAUAUUAUUAAUUUGUGUAAUCCUCCUAACAACCCUCUGAGGAAGGUACUCUUAUGAUUCCCAUUUUACAAAUAAAGAAACUGAGACUAAGUGACUCACUCAAGGUGUAGCAGGUAGAAAGUAGUGGAAUUAGGAUAUGAGUUCAGACUCCAGACCCUGUUAUUAGCCCCUGUCUUUGGCUAUGGAUUAGUAAAGGAGAGCACAGCCAAGGGUGGGACAGGCAGCUGUAGUCCUCUGGACCAGCUUCACAUGGAUGGGGCUGCAUUGUUACAGGUGGCCUAACUCAGACAUGGAAACUGAGUCGCUGCUGCCCAACUCAUGCCAUGAAACCAUUUUGGCCUGCACAGCUUAUAACAGCACUCUAGCUCUAGCUAUGACACUUUAUGGUGUUAGUGGGUUUUUUUGGUGGUUGGUAUGGAGGAGGGGCUGGGCUACAAGUUUUAGAUUAUGUUUCUUAUUGCGGGUUUUUAAAAAUUCUUGAAUUAGGCCUAUUUGCUCUUUUGUUCUCUAUUGAGUUAGCAAAUUCAGUUUUUCCAAGAUGCCCUGAAAGUAUGAUCAUACAUGUAUACGAAAUGGUCCUUGGGUCCAGCUGGCAACUCCUGUGCACCCCCGACCUGGAUUCUGCCUUCCUUGAAGUGAGCCUUGGAAGAAACAAGUGCUCAUGCUCCCUGACAUUAUUAGCUGCCACGAUGAAGCCUCAGUCCCAAACACCCCAGCUUCCUGUCUAACUCAAGAGCUAAUCCUGUGUUUAAAUCUUAAGAGUGUUUAGAUCUUAGGCCAUGCCAUGAAUUCCCCUGGUUGACUGCAUUUGUGAAAAUGAGCUUCCCAUUAUUGGCUCUUAAGUAAUGGAGAUGAGGGGGAGUCCUGCUACACAGAUAAGUGCAUCAUAAAGUUACAUAAUUAAAAUAACUGAGCUCUGGCCUAUCAACAGGCCCAUCAGCAGUCCAGAAUAGAGUCUAGAAAUGGACACAAAUUAAAUGAGAGUUUGAAAUAUGAUAAAGGUAGCAGUUGAAAUUAGUAGAGAGAUGAUGAUGUACUCAAAUAAAUAGUGUUGGACAACUGGACAAAUAUAUGGGAAACCAAAUUGGAUUUAAUUACUCUGUCAAAAUCCCGAUAAAGCAAGGAUUUAAAUGUAAAAAAUGAAAUAAAAAAUGAUAGAAGAAAACAUGGAAGAAUUUAUUAAAACAAUUUCAGGAUGAGAGGUUAUUUCAGAAUUUAAGAUAAGGACCUCAAACCAUAAAAGACUGACACAGCUGACUAUGUGAAAUUAAAAAAAUUCUGCCACCAGAAAAAUAUUAUAGAAAAAGCCAAAACACCUAAGGAAAAUGAGGAUAAAAUAUUUUCAAUGAAUAUGACAAAGCAAGUUUCUACAAAUCAGUAAGACAAGGUAUUUUACAAAGUCCAAAGGGUAUGAAGAAAUAGUUCACAAGAAAGAAAAACAAAUGAUUUUAAGCAUUUGGAAAGAUAAAAACCUCAUUUCCAACAAAAGAAAUGUAAAUUAAAGCUCCAGUGUACCAUUUCUCAUCUAUGAAAUGAAUGAAGAUAAAAACCUGAGUAUACACUUGGUAAGGGUGGGGGAAGAAAGUGCAUUUGUGCAGUCAAAGUGAUGUAAAUGGUACAGCCCUUAUUUGGCAGUAUCUAUCACAACAUAAAUGAACAUUUUAAUCCUGCUGGAAAUGGGGGGAAAGGGAGGAUCUCUUAAAGUAAAUCCACUGAAAACGGAGACCAAAAUUUUACAAUAGAGAUAUUUGAUUGGGAAGUUAAUUUGAAAAAUAACAGUAGUUAAAAUAUUAUUUUAUCUCAUAUGCAAUAACAGUUGUUAGAGUUACAAUUAUGUACACGUUUUAGAAAAAAACAAAUCCAGAGGGGAUUUUGGUUUGUCUUUUGUAAAGCAUUAUAUGGUAACAUCUGAGGGCAUCUUUUAUACUUGGCAGAGGAUGUUGGCAGCACUUCCACAGAGAGGAUCAUUUUUUGUAGAAGUAUGGCAUGGUUUCACUGCUUGACCAAGAGGCCACCUGCAUCAAUUAUCAUCUCCCCUGCUGUCCUCUGAAAUGCUUAUCUAGGCAUCGAUCUUGGUUUCCUCUUCAACUGAUUAACUAACUGGUCUACUCUGCCCAGUCUCUAUUUGAGAAAUCAUUUGACAUCAUUUUCUUUAACUUGAUGAAAUCUCCUAUUUUGACAAGAUUUACAGUUCCUCUUUAUAAGUUCCUCUUUACUUUGUGUGUGCUUUAUAUUGUCUUUGGUUGACAAGAGACAGCCAAAGAGGUCAGUCAGCAGAGAUACAAGUAGGGAUAAGAUGGAUAGGGAGAAACAACAGUGUUCAAUAGGGAGGGAUGUUUCAGGGAAACUAAUUUCAUAAGUGGUCAUUUCAGUAGUGAAUAUAUUUGAAUGGUUAAUGGCUGCUGUUUUUUAGCUGCCCUACAUAUCCAUCAACAGAGGAUCUGUUCCAUAAAUCAUGGCACAAUGAAACUCUGCAGCUGUUAAUGAAAAGGAGAUUUGCUAGAUGUCUUAAUACAGAUCCAUCUCCAGAACAUACCAGUGUCUUCCUUUUAAGUGGUGCACACUGGGGCUGAACACUUACUAAGAAAUGAAAGGGCUCCCCAGUCAAAGCUGACAGGUGUCAUUACAACAUGACCCCUGUGGUAGAUCCCAGCACAAUACACUGGCCAUCACUCCAUUCUCUUCAAAUGUCCUAGGGUUGCUUCAUACAGCAGACCAUCGUACCCAAAGCCACUAUGCAUAUGACUUGGUUAUCUCCUGCCAGGCUGUAGUCCAGUUAGUGCUCCCUUGGAAAUACUCAAGACCUUAAUGAACUAUCUAUCUGUGAAUCUGUGAAGCUACCCAUUUCUUAGAGGCCUCUUUGGAGAGCUGGCUGUUGAAUACCCAGUAUGAUGGUCCUUAGCCUUCUUAGACCUUUCCUGUACCACUACCUCUAUGCCUUUUGCCAAGUCCAAGUGUUCACCAGAAAUGGAACUGAUGCCAGAAAGACUACAGCUAACAAUCUGAGCAGAACAGUGAGCAUGUCCUAUCUGGGAAAAGCCCAGCCCAUUGGGCUAAAUCUCUAGCUGAACACAGAGACUAUGCUCCUUCCAAUUAUACUGGAAGCCCAACCAUGAGAAAACAGCACUUCAACUACACUGUUCAGAGCCAUCACCUGUUCACACGUGUGUCUGUAUACAUGUAAACACACAUUUUGCAAUAAAAAUGCUUCUCAGAUGUACUGCACCAUAAUAAAUCAGCAUUGUAUGUACAGCUCAAAAAGAAGUAUGGCAUACCUAUGGAAGAAGUCAAAGGCAAAGUGUAGAAAAAUACAUACAGUAUGCUACCAUUUGUAUAAAAAGGAGCCGUAUCUACUAAGUACAUGCACACACAGACACACGUAUAUUUGUUUAUAUAAAAUACGUCUGGAAAGAUGCAAUAGGAAAGUGUUGAGUGGUAACCUUUAGGGAAGGAAACUUGGGAAUUAGGGUUGGGUGGGGAGAGUGUUAUUUUUCACCCCUUUUGUACUCUGAAUUGGUUUUACCAUGUGUGUAAAGACUGUUGUAUGAUUUUUGUAGCACAACCCUUGAAUACAUAAAGCACGAUUGGCUCCCCAGAAGGCAGGUGUUGGCCAGGCAGUGGAUGCACGGUAGGGCAGUGUGCAGCCCUGCAUGCACGUGGCUGGUAUGCCCUGCGGGCAGCAGCUCCCCGCACACAGUGCUGUGAGUCUCUGGUUCAUGUCACUCUGUGGAGCAGGGGCUGCUCCAGCACAAAGAGGUUUUUGACAGGGAAAGGCAGAGCCAGAGUCAGGGCAGGCCCUGGGCGGGCUCCUAGAGAGCCCAACCACCCUCUAAUAAGGGGUGCUCUCCACCCUAUCUGAGGAGCAAUUGGGAUCUCCUAGGAAGUGAAACUGUUACGUAUGUCUUAUUACAGAAUUUCCAGUGGAGUGAUUCUGGAAGAAAUGUGUAUGGCAUGUUGUGACUGCUAUGUCUCAUGAAAUAUUUACGUUUUUAUGUAACUUUUUUCCAUUUUCAGAUCAUCUUUUAUUUUAACGCAAAAUGACAAUAUAUUUUUCAAUUAAUUUGCCCAAUAUCUGUGUUUAAAUGUUUUCUAAUGCACACACGUGUUUUAAACUCAUUAAAAAAAUAUGACUUAGAUCCCAUCCCACUUUCAUGUUUUAUAUUGCCAAAACUCUGCUUUUGGGAGAGGUGAGUUAUCUUCACUUCUGAAACAGUACUGCUUGGGAGCUGGUUUGGCCCUGGCUAUUCUGGGGAAAUGACACAAUAUUGACCUAGAGGGGCCCUAAUCUUUCCCCGCUAGAGCACUACCUCUAAUAGGGUGAAGGAUGGGAGAAAGAGGCUAGUGAACCCACCUUCAGGUCUGUCCACUCAGGACAUGCCCACACUAGCCUCUCCAGGGGCUCUGCCCUUGGCAUCCCCGUCCCCCACCUGGGCUCUGGCAGAGAAGUCAGGCGGGAAGAAGCCGGCUGAGUGCCCGCCACUGUAAGAGGAAACGAAGAGAAACAGCUCCAGUCAGCCCCAGAAGCGAGGCCUGGAAAAACUCUGCAGCUGGAGCUAACACAAAGGACUUUUCAGACCCUGCAGCCAAGGUGCCCAGUGAGCUUUUUUUUUUUUUUUUUUUUUUUUUUUUAAAAAACAGCUAUUAGGGUGACAAGCCUUUCCAAAGGCCAGCAGUUGGCGAGAGUUUCCAGGAAGCUGGUCUGGCACUGGGCUGGGAUUGGAGCAACUUUAACGAGUUAAGUUCAGAAGGAAGGAGUCAUCAGGAAAGGUUUAAGGUUCAACAAACUUUUCAAAUUAUUUUGCAAAAAGUUCUGGCUUUCCAAUUCAAAGGCAUGUUUCGCUGUGACUGUUUUAAGCCAGAGCCUAUUUAAAAGGCAACACAACUAGCAUGCUUCAGAUUCACUCACUCGAGGUAUUUGUCUAAAUCCUCCGAAUGGGCUUUGCAAGUGCCAUCUAGUGCCUAGUAACACUGGGGCCAUCUUACACAUCUCGACAGGCAGCCCUCCUCCCCACGUGCCUCCCCCCAGCCUCUGUGGUCGUGUGCGCGCGGGCGCGCACACACACACGCACGCAUGCACCUUCCCUAAGCAGGAAGCUGCUCUUUGCCAAGAGCGAAUGGAAUUCAGAUUUCCAGAGGGUGUCCUUGGCCUCCAGCUCUACGGCUGCAUGAUGAAGAAAGGUCCUAGUGUGUGUGCCGGGGGCUGGGAGAGAGGGGCCUCCAGCUCUGCUCACAUCUAUCUGGGCCCCAAGAAAAACCCACAACUGGCUGUGCUCUCCCCAGCCACACCCAGCCUUGGUCACAUUCCUUCCCUUCCUGAGCCCACACUGGGUGGCCCCGGCAAACCAGCUUCCACACCUCCCUCCCCACCGGCAGGGAGACCUAGCCCAAGCCCCCAUGGGGCAGCCAGCAAGUACAAAUGAGGGGCUGCACCCCAGGCCCAAAGAGCCAGAAAGCACGGAGGGCCCUCCCCCCACCCCACCCCCAAUGCUGGGCAUCCCCUUGUGGCUGCUGUCACUCAUGGGGAAAGAGACACACUCCCUUGUCUAGCACCCGGUGAGCUGAGCUCCCAUCCCUUCCUGUGCCUGCUUUCAGGAAGUCCCUCUUCAUAUCCAACCUUGACUCUCCUGGCUGUGGUGCUUGUGGGCCUGGGAUUGAAGGGCCAUCACUGCCCUUUGCACCAGAGCUUCCCAACAUACCAGCAAGAAGGGACUGUACCCCUUCCCCUGUCCAGUCUGGGCCUUCCAAGCCCUGAGAUUCAGCAACCUCAGGAAUUAAACAUUUAUAGGAAAACACCUAUGCAGACAAGGGACAUGAGUCAGGGUGGUCAUCAGCAGUAGCAAGGUGGGUAGGCUGGUCACGUUUAGCUUCUCUUUAGCCCAAGUAAUAGGGUCUUCCACCUGCAUGGCCAGGGAGGGGAUAGGCUGAGAGCAAUCUUUCUACAGGCUGUCAGCAUCAACAAGUGGUUGUGAUGAGCAGGAGUCUGUAUGGCUUUUCAGGUGUUCCGGCUCAAGGAGGCCCAACACCAAGUUGGAACCUCCAGGCCUGGUGCCUAGGCAGAAGGUGGGCUAAACAAAGGCCAAGGGGAGCUCUGCUCUGUCACUUCCCUUUGUUUGCUAAUGAGACUGUUUCCAAAAGCUGGCCUGGUAGCCUGUGGGAUUGUUUCUCUCAAGAUUUCUUCUAGGGGAGAAGGUGGCUGAGGCUUUGCAGUCUGCAUCACCCAGUCCCCAGAAUCUACAGGGGACUCAGCUUGCCUAGUCACAGUUCGGCUUUUGGCCUUGGCUCCAGGGCCCAUUCUGAUCCUCGUGCUUGGGUCAGGGAUGGUCAGCACCCCUGCCCUGAUGCUGCCUGCUGGGGUCUCCUGCUGAGUACCGUGAAGGCCUACUGUGGCCUGAGAAGCCAACUUCACUGUCCCUUUUGGCCAGCCCUAGACCCUAUAUUUGUUCAAGUAACACAUUGAUUCACUGGCUUCUCCUUUAGGCAAGGCCUGCAGGGGACUCAGCUGGGGUUCAUGAUUCCUUGCCACCUGUGGUGGGCCUGCAUGGCCAGCCCAAGGCCUCAAGUGCCACAUACUGCUCCCCUGACAGUCAGGUGGCUAGGGUAUGACACUCAAGAAAAUGCCCAGGCAGAACCCAGAGUUGGGGUCACUUGGUCCAGCCCUUCUGAAGGGGACUGGUUGGAUCUGUUGCGGGGAGGAGACAGGCCAUGCUGGACCAGCAAAAAAGCAUAGAACUUGGAGUCUGGAACCUGACAUCUGGCCUUGGCUCUGCCAUCAGCUGGCUGUGUCCACUGGGCAAGGUCCUAUCAUAUCUGGUCUCAGUGCUUCCAUUUACCCAGAGUCCUUCCAUCACCUGACACCUACAGGGAUGCUUUCCCAAUCAAAAUUCAGGCCAUGUGGUUUGAUAAGGCCACCUUCCAAUGUGGAAGACAGGCUGGUAAUGGAGAGGCCUGGGAGCACAGAGCUCCUAGGCACUGCCAUGGAAUGUGGGGACCUUAGGGAAGGAUAUCUCAAUUGAAGCUCUUCAGAGCCCCUGGGGUGGACUGUUCUGUACUCUCAUCCCCUAACCCAUACCAGCCUGAGCUCAAUCAUAUCAGCCUGUGAAGGCUGCCCCACCACACUGCUUCUGCACCCACCACACCAGGCCCCCUUGAGCUCCCACCUGGAGCCCACACACCCAGCUGGUGGGGUUCGUGGGGCAGUUCAAAAAGAAAAGCAGAAAAAAGCAUUUGAGUAUUUUGGACUGGAAGGAAUUCAAUUUAACUUAACAAAUCAGGACAUGAACCUAAAGAAAACACUGAAAAACAAGCCCAACUUUGAAAGGCCCAAAGAGGGAGGAUUAGGUGGGAGAAGAAAGGUCCCCUGUGGGCAGAAGACAGCUGCUCAGUCCAGACCAGGGACCAGGGGAGGAUACUGGGCUUGAGUGCAGACCGGGCCAGGGUAGGGAGACAAGCCCAACAUACACUCGAGGACUUGAAGUCAGGGGUGCUAGCUGACUUUUUAGCCCACUCUUUCUACCCCAGAUACAGAGACUAGCUGCCUGAGGAAGCAUAGCGGGGCCCACAGGCUGGCUGCCUGGUGCUGCCCACCUCCUCUCCAGGGCUUGGCUCCCUGGGGCAGAAGGCUCAGACCUAUAACCACAGUGGGGUUGCAGGGAUUUAUUUGGGGGAAGAACCCUGACUGGGUCAGAAUGAUUAUGUGCAUGCAUGUAUGUGUAUGUAGCUCCUUGUUCUCUGAAAAGCCUUGCCUACCACCCUACUUCCCAAGUACCCUCUAUUGCCUUGCAAAGUCACCCCUGCUCUCUGCCUCAGUUUCCCCAGCAGGGCACCACAGGACACUGCUGUGGCAAGGUUUAUACUUAGGGUGCAGUGCAGUCUGAUCUUGUAUAAAUGCUCAGUGCCAAAGACUUAGGAGAUAAGUCAGGCAGAGUCAAAAUUAACCUUUGAAAAAUCCCUUGAAUUGGCCCUAAAAAUAAUCCCUUUCUCAGAUCUUUGUGUAUAUCCCCUGCUGGGUUGCUCUUCUGCCUGCUAAAGUGGGAGAAUCUCUGGGUGCACAUCCAGAGUACCCUGGGAGAGGCAUGCCAGGUGUUCCUGUACCUUUUUCAGGAUAUUCCCAGUGUCAUCUUCAGAGGGAGCCUCUGAGGCUGCAGCCACACAUGGGAAAAGAUUACUUAUGGAGAAGAUCAGAGGCUAAGGGGCUGGGGAUGGUGGGGACAUCGGAUUUUGAGGUCAGACCUGGACUCCUGUCUACCUCUGUCUCUCUACCUUUUAUUUUUCUUUCCUUUUCUCCUAACAAGGCCCUAUUUCUAAGAUGGCACCUCAGGCCUCCCAUGGGACCAACCAGGCCUGACAGACUAACUGCUCAGACUAACUGCCAGACUUCCUCCUGCUAGCCAGUCACUACCAAGGAUGUGUGCCUCAGAUACAGCCCCUGCCCAGGACACCUACGUUGUCCCUAACAGGGCCCACAUAUCUAAAGCAUGAAUGCCUAGCCAGGGGCUCUGGGGCACCAUAAGAAGGCAUGAAGCUGGGCCUGCCAAUUUGCAUCCUGGGAGGGCAGGUCAGCCUUGUCCAGGCAAUCCAGGAGGCUUCCCAGUGGCCCACUGGCCAGUGAGGACCUUUGACCUCCUUGGCUGGUGGCACCAGGUUUAUGAUGCACAUAGAGGCUGAACUUGAAGAAUUCUUAUUGCAGAGGGCAGCCACAAGAGCCACUGGCCAGUGCCCAGAUAAUAUCUGCAGACUGUUCCCUCCUGCUCCAUGGGCCACAGAAUCCCUUUGUCUUGUUACUGCUACACUGCCUUCCUACCAAUCUUCAGGGUUCAUCCUGGCCUCUGCCAUGCAUAUCCAGGCUCCCCCAGAGAUUGUGUGUCUGGGAAUGAGCCCUGGCUUCUGCUCCUAUCUCCCAGUGAUACUGGCAAGUCCCUAUCCUUCUUGAGGCUUCAAUUUCCCCUUCUGUGAGCUGGGAGGACAGGCCCACUAGAUGCUCUCUGAGGGACCUACCAAGGAUGUGGGCUGUGUGUCUCAGCCAACAGCAGUAUCUCCUAACCCCAACACAAGAAAUACACAUAGUAGGUGUCUGGUUAAUGCUCUUGGAAUUUCAGCCUAUACUAACCAUCUGAAAGCCACUGAGUCUGAACUCUGCUACCAUAUUUGAGAUUAUCUCUCCAUUGGGCACCUAUGGGUUGCCUAGAGACAAGCUACCAUGGUCCUCUUCCCUCGCCCGUCAUGUGCAGGGUCAAAGGCAGGUGAGCUACACAGCUCGCCCUGCUCUUCACUCUGCUUUAAUGUGGGUGCUUGCCUUGGCAGAUGGGCCCGACAGUGAUAAGAACAAAUGACAGAUGCAUACUGGGGCACCUGUGACUGCCAUGAGACACAGUCCACUGAUUCUGCCUCCAACCCCCUCCCCAGAGCAGAAUAGUGAGUGCUAGGUUUCCGCCUGUACCUCCACGGGACCCCAACAGCUCCUGAACCCCAUUCCGAGAUUUGAGGUUGUGACUUGGGGACCUCUAGACUUCCCUUCCCUCCACCUGACUCCAGACUGUCCUGGAGCUUGGGACUCUCAGGCCUCUAGGCACAUCUUAUUAAGGACAGCAGCUGACAGCCAUAUGUUGUGACCCCAUUUGUAUCCCAUGGUAACUCAUGACCUGGCAGUCUCAAAAGCUCUCAGGCCAAAUAAGGAAUGUCCCCACAGGAUCUCCCAUCACAAAGAGACAUUCUAUGCUGGCUAAUAUUUUCAGGCAUUUCCCCGAGUCAGGUAUGUGGCUGGAUGCCUAACACCAUCUCCUCAAGGCCUUACACUAAUACUGUGAGAUAUACUCCCAAUGUAUACAAGAGGAAACUGAGGCUGAUAGAGAUUAGGUGACUGCCCCAGUGUCCUGUGGGCAGGAUGAAAUGACCCAAGCUGGCCAGGGCUCCCUGACAGACCUUGUCCCUGGAUUCAGCGAACAUACAUCAAACCAUUAGCUGACAAGGAAUGAAUCUGACAAGCUGUUCAUGACCACCACACUGAAAACUACAGGGCAAGGUAAAAGAUAUGAAAGUCAACCUAAAUAAACAAGGGACACAUGAUGCCAUGUUUCAGGAGCCCCAAAACUAUAAGGAUACCCAUUCUCCCAUGCCCAUCUAGAGGCUGCUGCGCCUAGAGGAGGCUUUCCAUGGCAACUGGCAUAUGUAUGGUGAGGAGAAACCCUGCAAAGACAGCAAAGCCAGUGAUGGGGAAGGAGAAGCAGCCAGAGCCAGCAGGACCAGCUGUCAAAACCUGUUAGCAAACUACAGUGAGAAGGAAGCAAGGUCCUGGCCACAAAGAACAACUUGAAUCUGACCAGUGGCACCCAAUAGGGUCCAGAAACAGAGCCACACGUAGCCAGUGAGCUGAUUGUAAAGACACUGAUACGGCAGGGUAGUUGGGAGAGGACGGGCCUUCCCAUGCCGGGUGCUGAGCUAGACUGGAUAUCCAAGUAGGGGAAGAGUGGACCUUGACCUCGGCCUCACAUUGGACACAAAAAUCAAUCCCAGAUGGAGUGCAGAUCUACAUGGGAAAGGUGAGCUAAUAAAGCUUUAGAAUAAACCAGAAUAUCUUUAUGACCUUGGAGUAGUCAAAGUUUCUUAAAUAGGACACAAACAGCCCUAUCCAGAGAGGAAAUGUUUGAUUAACUGGACCACAUGAAAAUUAAGACCUUCUGUUCAUCAAAAGACACCAUCAAGAGAGGAAGAAGGCAGCCUGCAGAGGGGGAGGCGAUAUUUGCAAUGUGUGUGUCUGUGAGAGAGUGUGAGUGUGUGUAUCUCUCUCUCUGACAAAUGACUCCAGAAUAUCUAAAGAUAUAUAGGACCAUAAAUAAACAUAAAACAGGCAGAAGAUGUAGGCAAUUUAUACAGAAUGAUGUAUCUGACUAAAUGAUAACAUGGAAAGGGACUCAACUUCAUUAGUCAACAGGUUACUGCAAAUUAAAAUCACCAUUUGAUGCUGCUAGACAUUCACCAUCAUGGCUGAAAAGGAAACGACGGAAAAUGCCAAGUGUUAGGAUGUGGAGCAGCCAGAAUGCUGCCUGUGGGAAUGAAAAUUGGAAUGACUCCUUUGGUAGACUGCUGGGUAGUAUUCACUAAGAGUAAACAUAUGCCCACCCAGGACCCUGCAGCUCCACACAUAGGCAUAUAUUCCCCAGAAACGCAACCUGAUGCUCACCAAAAGCAUGUACAGAAUAUUCUUAAACAGCAACCUACACCAGAAACUGCCUGCUGGCCACAGGUGGUAGAAUGGAUGAAUGAUGUAGGCCAUGCACACAAUGGAGCACCAGUCAGCAAGGAGCAUGAGGGAGCACUCUCCCUUCAGCCCCAUAGAGAGGCUGCCAGACAUCAAAUUGAGUGAGGGACAUUGGACACAAAGGUGUAUGAGUUGCAUCAUUCCCACCGCAUAAAGUUCAAAUGUGGGCAAAGCUGGUCCUUGCUGCUAGCAGUUAGGCCUGUGGUUAAUCUCAAGGUCAGUGACAGGAAAUGGGAGCCUGAGAGGCUUUCUGGGGGUUCUGUUGCUUCCUCCGGGUGCUGCACACAUGGGUCCCAGGGACUGAAGAUGCCUCAAGCUGCGCACUUGAGACCUGUGUACUAAUCUGUGUGCAUGCACAUUACCCUUUAACUAAAAGUUUAACACCACCACCCUAUACCAGGGUAGCCCAGGUGAGCCUAAUUAGGUGGAUAGCCCUGGCCUUCAGGGCCGCUAGGCCCAGCCCCAUCCCACUCCCUCACUUAAGGGGACACGGCUUCCAGACUUCCUGACUAGGUCACCUCCGUGCUUCAGCCUCCAGAGGCUCUGCAGUUCAAUCUCCCCUUUCAGGUAUCAGCAGAGCACACAAGAGAUCUAUAUGGGAUGUGCCCCCCGCCCAACCCCGCCCCGACCCCCUGCCCCAACUGCCAGAAGUGUCUCCAUGACAAUAUCAGUGCAGUUGUGAAGUCCUUUGCCCUCCAGCCACCUCUGUGGCGUGAAUGUUCUCUCUGUCACAUCCUCCAACACCAUCUGCUUGGCUGAGGACCUGAGCAGCAUCAUGGCUGGGAGUUCACAAGUGGAGAGGGCUGAGCCUGGCCAGAGUGCACUGGGGCAGGGUGAUUUGGAUGGCCUUUCCCUUGCAGAGGAAAUGAGAAGCCUCACUGCUUUCUUCUGGGCCAUCCACCUAGACAGUGCGGCCCUCUCCCCAUAGCAGCAGCCCUAGGCCAGCCGCUUCUUCCUCACGU